UACGAAGGGGGCUAGCGUUGCUCGGAAUCACUGGGCGUAAAGGGUGCGUAGGCGGGUCUUUAAGUCAGAGGUGAAAGCCUGGAGCUCAACUCCAGAACUGCCUUUGAUACUGAGGAUCUCGAGUUCGGGAGAGGUGAGUGGAACUGCGAGUGUAGAGGUGAAAUUCGUAGAUAUUCGCAAGAACACCAGUGGCGAAGGCGGCUCACUGGCCCGAUACUGACGCUGAGGAGCGAAAGCGUGGGGAGCGAACAGG
rnacentral:rRNA from 1 species